CUGGUUGAUCCUGCCAGACCCGACUGCUAUCGGAGUGAGAUUAAGCCAUGCGAGUCAACGUAGCAAUACGUGGCACACGGCUCAGUAACACGUAGUCAACAUAACCAAAGGACGUGGAUAAACUCGGGAAACUGAGGCUAAACCGCGAUAGACCGAGAUACCUGGAAUGGUUUUUGAUUAAAAUCUAUAUGGCCUUUGGAUUGGACUGCGACCGAUCAGGCUGUUGGUGAGGUAAUGGCCCACCAAACCUGUAACCGGUACGGGCUCUGAGAGGAGGAGCCCGGAGAUGGGUACUGAGACAAGGACCCAGGCCCUAUGGGGCGCAGCAGGCGCGAAACCUCUGCAAUAGGCGAAAGCCUGACAGGGUUAUUCUGAGUGACUUUCGCUAAGAAAGUCUUUUGACACCUCUAAAAAUGGUGUAGAAUAAGGGGUGGGCAAGUCUGGUGUCAGCCGCCGCGGUAAUACCAGCACCCCGAGUGGUCGGGACGAUUAUUGGGCCUAAAGCAUCCGUAGCCGGUUUUACAAGUCCUCCGUUAAAUCCAACUGCUUAACAGAUGGGCCGCGGAGGAUACUAUAAGACUAGAAGGCAGGAGAGGCAAGCGGUACUCGGUGGGUAGGGGUAAAAUCCGUUGAUCCAUUGAAGACCCCCAGUGGCGAAGGCGGCUUGCCAGAAUGCGCUCGACGGUGAGGGAUGAAAGCUGGGGGAGCAAACCGGAUUAGAUACCCGGGUAGUCCCAGCUGUAAACGAUGCAGACUCGGUGAUGGACUAGCUUCAUGCUAGUCCAGUGUCGCAGGAAGCCGUUAAGUCUGCCGCCUGGGUAGUACGGU
rnacentral:rRNA from 1 species